GCCUUCGUGGCGUAACGGUAGCACCCUCGGCUCGUAUUCGAGAGGUUGAGGCUCGAGUCCUGGCGAGGGUA
rnacentral:tRNA from 1 species